GACAGAGGAUGCAAGCGUUAUCCGGAAUGAUUGGGCGUAAAGCGUCUGUAGGUGGCUUUUCAAGUCCGCCGUCAAAUCCCAGGGCUCAACCCUGGACAGGCGGUGGAAACUGCCAAGCUGGAGUACGGUAGGGGCAGAGGGAAUUUCCGGUGGAGCGGUGAAAUGCGUAGAGAUCGGAAGGAACGCCCGUGGCGAAAGCGAGGUCCUGGGCUCUUACUGACGCUGAGACGCGAAAGCCAGGGGAGCGAACGGG
rnacentral:rRNA from 1 species